rnacentral:rRNA from 1 species
UACGAAGGGUGCAAGCGUUGUUCGGAAUUACUGGGCGUAAAGCGCGCGUAGGCGGGCUUGUGUGUCGAUUGUGAAAGCCCUGGGCUUAACCUGGGAAUGGCAGUCGAAACUGCAAGUCUUGAAUGUCUGAGAGGAUGGCGGAAUUCCCGGUGUAGUAGUGAAAUACGUAGAUAUUAGGAAGAACACCAGUGGCGAAGGCGGCUCACUGGUCCGGUACUGACGCUGAGGUGCGAAAGCGUGGGGAGCAAACAGG